UACGAAGGGGGCUAGCGUUGCUCGGAAUUACUGGGCGUAAAGCGCACGUAGGCGGACUCUUAAGUCGGUGGUGAAAUCCUGGAGCUCAACUCCAGAACUGCCUUCGAUACUGAGAGUCUUGAGUCCGGGAGAGGUGAGUGGAACUGCGAGUGUAGAGGUGAAAUUCGUAGAUAUUCGCAAGAACACCAGUGGCGAAGGCGGCUCACUGGCCCGGUACUGACGCUGAGGUGCGAAAAGCGUGGGGAGCAAACAGGG
rnacentral:rRNA from 1 species